rnacentral:lncRNA from 1 species
AGCAGGGGGAAGGACCUUCUUGUUUUCUCUGGGCCGAGGGUAGAAGUUGGCAUCUAGUAGGUACCCAGUGACGGUUUAGUAAGUAACGGAAUGAGAAAAUGCUGUUUUAGUGAGGUGCCAGUGUGCUAGACAGAUCAUUUUACUACAAAGGUCUGAAACGCCAUUCCUACCAGACAUCUUGGGAAGGAAUCCUGUAGAUGGCAGGCCUAUGGAGAAGCCAACUGGGGAUUCUUCCCUGUGAGAUAGCCUUUCAAAACAUUACUGAUCUGUUUGAGAAAGAGCCUGUCUCGCCAUGUUUCCCAGGCUAGCCUUGAACGCAAGUAAUUCUCCUGCCUCAGCCUCUCAAGUUCCUGGGAGCUCAGGUUGCAUUACCUCACGUGGCUCCUUGCUGGACGUUGAUAGGGUAUGUUACAGUUUUGUUUCUAUCUUGAGGGCUUUCCCCCCCUUGAGAUAUUAAUUUUAAAUAUUUCCUCUAGUACUUAAAAUGUGCCAGGCACUGUAAUAGCCCUUGAAUUUAAAAACAAACAAAUAAACAAACAAAAAACCAUAAAUCACACCAACUUAUUCUCAAACUGCAUCAAAUUCUUAGACUGGGCUUUAGCAGUCAAUGUUGUGAACUUGAAAGUGUCUUGUCUUUUUAAAUACCAAAACACCCAGGAAAAAGCUUUC